rnacentral:rRNA from 1 species
GGUUAAGCGACUAAGCGUACACGGUGGAUGCCCUGGCAGUCAGAGGCGAUGAAGGACGUGCUAAUCUGCGAUAAGCGUCGGUAAGGUGAUAUGAACCGUUGUAACCGGCGAUUUCCGAAUGGGGAAACCCAGUGUGAUUCGUCACACUAUCAUUAACUGAAUCCAUAGGUUAAUGAGGCGAACCGGGGGAACUGAAACAUCUAAGUACCCCGAGGAAAAGAAAUCAACCGAGAUUCCCCCAGUAGCGGCGAGCGAACGGGGAGCAGCCCAGAGCCUGAAUCAGUGUGUGUGUUAGUGGAAGCGUCUGGAAAGGCGCGCGAUACAGGGUGACAGCCCCGUACACAAAAAUGCACAUAUUGUGAGCUCGAUGAGUAGGGCGGGACACGUGGUAUCCUGUCUGAAUAUGGGGG